AGCACGCCUCAAGAUGAGAUCUCCCUGAAGGGCCCAGGAAGACCACCUGGUUGAUAGGCUGGAGGUAGAAGCGCAGUAAUGCGUGUAGCUUACCAGUACUAAUCGCCCGUUCGGCUUGUCCAU
rnacentral:rRNA from 1 species